rnacentral:sRNA from 1 species
AGUUUAAGUCUAGAGGUUAAAGUGCUGACAAGUCAGCACAAAAUUUAGCAUCCGGAAAUCUGAAACAUGAGCGUUUCCAAAGUCUUAGUUUUCCUCAUACAAAGGAAAUGAUGAAGAUUUUUCAUAAAAAAUUUGGCCUGCAUAAUUUUAGAACUAAUCAGCUAGAGGCGAUCAAUGCUGCACUGCUUGGUGAAGACUGUUUUAUCCUGAUGCCGACUGAUUCCAGCUACAUAUCUGACAGGUGAUAAGACUGACUCAGAAGCUACAAAUAUUUACCUCCAGUUAUCAAAAAAAGACCCAAUCAUAAAACUUCUAUAUGUCACUCCAGAAAAGAUCUGUGCAAGUAACAGACUCAUUUCUACUCUGGAGAAUCUCUAUGAGAGGAAGCUCUUGGCACGUUUUGUUAUUGAUGAAGCACAUUGUGUCAGUCAGUGGGGACAUGAUUUUCGUCAAGAUUACAAAAGAAUGAAUAUGCUUCGCCAGAAGUUUCCUUCUGUUCCGGUGAUGGCUCUUACGGCCACAGCUAAUCCCAGGGUACAGAAGGACAUCCUGACUCAGCUGAAGAUUCUCAGACCUCAGGUGUUUAGCAUGAGCUUUAACAGACAUAAUCUGAAAUACUAUGUAUUACCGAAAAAGCCUAAAAAGGUGGCAUUUGAUUGCCUAGAAUGGAUCAGAAAGCACCACCCAUAUGAUUCAGGGAUAAUUUACUGCCUCUCCAGGCGAGAAUGUGACACCAUGGCCGACACGUUACAGAGAGAUGGGCUCGCUGCUCUUGCUUACCAUGCUGGCCUCAGUGAUUCUGCCAGAGAUGAAGUGCAGCAGAAGUGGAUUAAUCAGGAUGGCUGUCAGGUUAUCUGUGCUACAAUUGCAUUUGGAAUGGGGAUUGACAAACCGGACGUGCGAUUUGUGAUUCAUGCAUCUCUCCCUAAAUCUAUGGAGGGUUACUACCAAGAAUCUGGCAGAGCUGGAAGAGAUGGGGAAAUAUCUCACUGCCUGCUUUUCUAUACCUAUCAUGAUGUGACCAGACUGAAAAGACUUAUAAUGAUGGAAAAAGAUGGAAACCAUCAUACAAGAGAAACUCACUUCAAUAAUUUGUAUAGCAUGGUACAUUACUGUGAAAAUAUAACGGAAUGCAGGAGAAUACAGCUUUUGGCCUACUUUGGUGAAAAUGGAUUUAAUCCUGAUUUUUGUAAGAAACACCCAGAUGUUUCUUGUGAUAAUUGCUGUAAAACAAAGGAUUAUAAAACAAGAGAUGUGACUGAUGAUGUGAAAAGUAUUGUAAGAUUUGUUCAAGAACAUAGUUCAUCACAAGGAAUGAGAAAUAUAAAACAUGUAGGUCCUUCUGGAAGAUUUACUAUGAAUAUGCUGGUCGACAUUUUCUUGGGGAGUAAGAGUGCAAAAAUCCAGUCAGGUAUAUUUGGAAAAGGAUCUGCUUAUUCACGACACAAUGCCGAAAGACUUUUUAAAAAGCUGAUACUUGACAAGAUUUUGGAUGAAGACUUAUAUAUCAAUGCCAAUGACCAGGCGAUCGCUUAUGUGAUGCUCGGAAAUAAAGCCCAAACUGUACUAAAUGGCAAUUUAAAGGUAGACUUUAUGGAAACAGAAAAUUCCAGCAGUGUGAAAAAACAAAAAGCGUUAGUAGCAAAAGUGUCUCAGAGGGAAGAGAUGGUUAAAAAAUGUCUUGGAGAACUUACAGAAGUCUGCAAAUCUCUGGGGAAAGUUUUUGGUGUCCAUUACUUCAAUAUUUUUAAUACCGUCACUCUCAAGAAGCUUGCAGAAUCUUUAUCUUCUGAUCCUGAGGUUUUGCUUCAAAUUGAUGGUGUUACUGAAGACAAACUGGAAAAAUAUGGUGCGGAAGUGAUUUCAGUAUUACAGAAAUACUCCGAAUGGACAUCGCCAGCUGAAGACAGUUCCCCAGGGAUAAGCCUGUCCAGCAGCAGAGGCCCCGGAAGAAGUGCCGCUGAGGAGCUCGACGAGGAAAUACCCGUAUCUUCCCACUACUUUGCAAGUAAAACCAGAAAUG